UGAAUAAUCAAUAUAACACUAGCCCACAGGGUGGCGGUGGGUGACACAAAACGCGGCUGGGGGCCGUUGAACCGCCGCGUGGUUCCCUUCGUUCACAGCGCCCCGGCGGUGCUUCAGCCCAAGGACAACCCAUCUGAUCCAAUGUCUCAGAAAGUAACGCGAAGAAAUACCUGUUCGGGAUUAGCACAGCCUCGUGUGCAAUGAAAUUAAAAAGUAGGCUAAAACUUAAUAAAAAAAUUAAGGAGUUACUUGCUGGGUCCAAUCCUGUCUCACAUCUUCAUUAAAGAUCUGGGUCACAGGCUGGUUGCACUGGCCAAACUGGGAGCAGGGGCUGAUGCACCAGAGGACUGUGCUGACAUCCAGAGGGACCUGGACAUGCUGCAGAAACUGGUUGACAGGAACCUCGUGCAGUUCAAUAAGGGGAAGAGCAAAGUCCUGCACCUGGAGAGGAACAUCCCCAGGCACCAGCACAGGCUAGGGACUGCCCAGUUGGGAAGCAGCUUGUCAGGAAAGGCCUUGGUGGACUCCAAGUUGAACAUGAGCCAGUGAAGUGCUCCUGUGACAAAGAAGAAAAUGGUUUCCUGGGCUGCAUUAUCAGAAGUGUUGCCAGCAGGUCAGAGGGGUGAUCCUGCCCCCCAGCACUGGUGAGGCCACACCUGGAGUGCUAGUCCAGCUCUGAGCUUCUCAGGACAAGACAGACACGAACACAAUGGAGAGAGUCCAGGAUAUGGCCACCAAGAUGACGAAGGGACUGGAGCAGCUCAUCCUGGAGAAGAGAAGGCUCAGGGGGAUCUCACCAAUGUGUAUAAACACCUGGAGGGAAGGUACAAAGAGGACAGAGCCAGGCUCUUUCCAGUGGGGCCCAGAGACAGGACCAGAGGUGACUCAACACAGGAGGUUCCCUCUGAACAUCAGUAAACUCCUCUUCCCUAUGAGGGUGACCAAGCACUGGCACAGGUUACCCAUGGAGGUGAUGGAGUCUUCAUCCUUGGAAACACUGAAAAGCUGUAUUGGAAUGAUGCUGGACAUCUGGCUCUAGGUAGUGCUGCUUGAGCAGGUGGCUGGACCAGAUGGCAUCCAGAGGUCAGCCUCAGCCAUUCAGUCACUCUGUGGAUUUCACAGGGCAUAUUUUGUGCAGUGUUACACUCACCAGUUAAACUUCAUGCAGCAGCUAUGUACCAGGACAAAGAACUGAAGGUAUUUAUUCAGUAUUUAUCCCUGGUGGUACUUUUUGCCCUUUUUUUUUUUUUUUUUUCUGCUCCACCAACAUAUCCUGCUCCCUUCAAUGAAAUCCUGAAGAGGAGGGUGCUGAGACCCACUGCAACACAGUGGUAUUUCCAGGGAAGAACUACAAGUACCAUUCAUGAAAGCUUGAGUUUGAGUUAAGAGUGAUGGAGAAGCUUCAAAAAGAAGAUUCAGAAAAUCAGGCAUUUGGCCUCGAUUAAGAAGUUGUUUGUCUAUUCAGCAUUUUGACUGAUGAGCAGUUUGGUUGUCUUCUGUAUUUGCUCUCAGUACGUCAGAAGUGGAUACACUGUACAAAGUACUACACAAAACAGGAACAUAAAACUGCGUGGCCCAAGCAGAAGCAGCUUUUGAGAAGGUGACUGCAGCUGUCUGGGACCAAGUCAGCAACCUGGCAGCACCUCACAAGCUCAACAAGCUCCUUAGCAAAAAAAAAAAAGGUUAUGAGGUGUGUCAGUUAUAAAGGAAGGUUUUGAUGCGAUAGUUGUCCAGUGCUACAGACAGAUUUCUGGAGGGUUAUCUCCAGAUUACCAUCAAGCUGGCUGAUACAGAGUCAAGUGUAGCUUCCUAAGAGAUGGAAAAAUAUUUGAAAAUUUGUCAGAAAUGGAGUUUUUGGAAUUACAGAUUUGAUGAUAUGGCAUACAUGACUGACCACUCUGCAGAUACUACUAUUACAUACCAGUCUCCUUCACAGGUGGUAGAAUUCACAAUAUCUCAAAACCAGCAUGCUGGAAAUGAAGCACUGGUUACAGACCUGUCAAUUUAAUCCCCAUCAUCACUGUAGAAUGACUUCAUUGAGUAUAUGGCAUCCGUUCACUAUAUUUUUUUCUAGUGGCAUAAAUAAUAAAUUUCAAAGUCGAAUUCUGCAUAUUUCCAGCCUGAGGAAUUCAGAGACAGAAGUAGGUCACACAGCAUUCCAGCCCAGGCACGUUGUAGCUGCAUGUGCUUCCUGAAUGUCAGCUAUCUCUGACCUCAAGAAAUGGAACUGUAAAGCACACCUGACAGCUUUUAAACACUUAAAUGCAGGAUGAAGAGAAGGGAUAAUUGCUGGUGAGGACAAGGAUUGUACACAUCUGCAGCAAAAUGUCAAGAGUGGAAAUAAUGCCUUUGGUUAGCAGCAGGAUACUGGUCUUGGAAAGCUGUGUAUAACUUGGUCAGGUUAUUCCCAUCUGCUGUAACUGCAGCAAAAGGGGAAGGGGCAGGAAAUGAGCACUGCACUACAGACAUUUCAAGCAGAGAAUUCCCUCACUGUAUACAAUGUCAUCAGCAAGUCAGGUGUCCUUAUUUAGAUUCUAUUUUUACUGUUAAUGGUGUCUGGGGAAGAAAAGUAACAAAACCCACCCCAAUAAACCCCCCCCCAAAACCCCACCCCCAAACAAGAUCACCCAGCAACAAGAGCCCUGUACAAACAUGAAAUAGAAAUGCAAAGUGACUGUGAUACAUGUUCCUGCCAUUCACCUGGGGAAAAUGCAGAUGCCGUGCAUUUAGAAGUGGGAGCCCAAGAAAAUCUGGAUGGUUUGAGGUGACACAGUUCAUAGGUUUUACAGGAAGUGUCACAUACAGAUAUUUAUUCAGACCCAGCUUAUUCAGACCUAACUUACGUGUUCAGUUUUCUCUCACCUGAGGCAACACUGCAUAGUCUAACCAUGCUAGAAAUACCUAUAUAGUAAUGGGACUAGUGAAGUCAUUCAGGAGGGGGUAUAUUUUUAGAUUAGUAGAAUAAGCUCUGUAUUGAACUGCAGAUAAAACACAGAACAAAGAAAGGGGAUGUAAAGAGAACUCUUUCUUCAUUCAGUGGUCAUGGAAAGGAACGGGACAAGAUAAGGAUUUUCUCCACCAUCUUUGUAAGCGAGGAUUCCAAAAAGAUACUUAUAAGUAAAAUGUAAGAGCUGGGGAAAAAAGCCAACAACUUUCAAUAUAGAAACAUACUUCAUGAAAUAUGACUCAAGUUGGAAGGAACACACAGGUGUGAACUAGGUCUGUCCAACAGUGAACGUUCCACAGCAUAGAGAGAAAAUAAUGCUCUCCUUCAUUUAGUUUUCAUAAAACUGGUAUUUACUUACCUUGAAACUUCAACAUGCAGAGUUAACCAUUAUUCUUGGUAUAUGCAACUUUUAAAAGGCUGUAUACAUCAAAGGAAGUGGUGUCCCUGCCCACAGCAGGGGGCUUGGAACGAGGUGAGCUUUAAGGUCCCCUCCUACCCAAGCCAUUCUGUGAUUCUCUGAUUUUAAAUCCGUAGUUUUAACUGAAAUCCCAAAUCCCGUCUUCUACGUAAGGAGACAGUUUUCUACUGUUUUCCAAAGAGGCACUACCUCAUACCCAUCCUUCAGUGAUCAGCAACAUGGUGUUGUUUAUGAAUCAGCAGAAGCAUCACUUUUGUUCAUCUCAAUGGUAGAAGCCUAUAAAUAGUGUCAGCAGCUUUUUUUAAGGCAUGUGGGACGUUUUAAAGCCACAUCCAGCUUACACAUUUCAAUCUGUGUUAAGUGCUGCCCCACAAGAGGAGCUGACAAACGGCCUUGAAAACAGCCAUCCUGACUUGUAUGGUGUUUAGAGCCAAAAGUCUUUUGGAUUAUGUCACCUAGACACAAGCAUUAACUUGCAUGAAUUAAUGUAGGAAGUACAGCAGACAACAUACACAGUAUUUUACUGAGAUACUGGGGGGAAUAUUGGGCACCAUAUUGCCAAGACUCUACCCAAAUCCCUAUUAGCUGGCAACAGGGGAAGUGGCAAAGUGGAAAAAUAUGGAUUUGUACUCAUCUCUCAUUCCUUCUGAUUGCAAAGCCUGCAUCUCUGAAGUACAGACCUCAGUUUUACAGUCAUUCUUUGUCCUUCUGUUACCCUUGUAAAGCAGCUGACAGCUGUGUAAAGUCACAGCUAUGUACACUGGGCUUCUAAGAUCAAAAGGAACCAUCAGUCAUCUGUGUGUGAAACAGUAAUACAGUAUUUGCACUGAGUUCAUAGCUUUUACUUAAGCUAGAUUUCCACUUCUAAGAAUUCCAAAUGAUUUAUGCCCUGGGUUUGGUUAGGAUAGAGCCAAUUUUCUUCCCAGUAGCUUGUACAGUGUUGUGUUUUGGAUUUAGUAUGAGAAUGUUGAUAAUGCACUUAUGUUUCUGUUGUUGCUAAGUGGUGCCUAUACUAAGUCAAGGACCUUCCAGUUUCUCAUGCCCUGCCAGGAAGAGGCUGAGGGGCACAAGAAGAUGGGAGAGGGCACAGCCUGGACAGCUGAGACAAAGUGGCCCAAGGGAUACUCCAGACCAUAUGGCAUGAUCCUCAACAUAUAAAGUGGUAGAAAAGCUUGCUGGGGGACCACUGCUUUAGGGACUGUCUAGGAAUCAGUCAGCAAGUCACGAGCAAUUGUAUUGUGCUUCACUUGUAUAGUCUAUAUUAUUAUUAUUGUUAUGAAUACUAAUAAUUAUUAUUGUAUUUAUUUACUGUUUAUUAAACUAUCUUUAUCUGAACUCGUGAACUCAUGAGUUUCUCACUUUUACUGUCUCCCCCACCCGACUGUAGGGGAGCAGGUGAGUGGCUGGGUAGUGCUUAGUUGCUGACUGUGGUUAAACAGUGACACUUAAACACUUUAAAAGUGUCAAAUAGUCCAUCGUGGUUGUUCAACUGCUUAACGGAGUAAGAAAAAAAGGAUGCCAACUCCUUCUCAUCCCACAAUGGAAUAAUAACAAAAUAAUAAUAACAAAGUACUACCACAAAUAAUAAAAAUUGGGAGAUAUCUCAUAAUUCAUAUUAUGGCUUAAUUUUUACAUCUACUUCCAUAGUUACUUCCACUCUAAUUGUGUGCCAUCACAUUAGAUGAACUUACCAACAGCCUAAGUAAGAUGCAUAGGUCUUUCUCCCCCCCAACAAUGUGUUUUUAAUAUGGAGGAUUGUUAGAAAGGACAGAGAGAAUUACGCUUAAUCUACCUUCAUUUGCAUUAAAUAUAAUUCUCAGUCAAAAUCUCCUUGUUUUCAUGAUCCAUACUGACUUCAAAGUGCUGGUGAUAGUUAUGGUUGUAUUUUUUUUUUAAAUUCUUAAAAAAAAAGUUUUAAUUUCUAGCAAGGGAAUUUCCUUUUCUGCAUAUAAACCAACACCUAAGAGCACUUUUUUUCCUAGAAUAACUUCAGAUACAAAUUAAUCAGUCCUGAAAUUAGAGCUCAUCUCAAUUAUGAAAGUGUGGUACAACCAUCAGAAAACAAAGGAUCUUAGUAAGUCAGCAAAAAUGCCUUUUUUUAGUUUAAAUGCUUCUGUCAAAGCCAAAGUGAAGUGCAAAAUAUGCAUGUAAAUAUAAAUAUAUGUGCAUGUGUGUUGGGAAUUAAUUAACCUAGGUCCCUUAAUAAUCUACUCAGGGACUAAAGAAUUCAUUCAUUAUGGAAAGACUUUGUAAGUAACUGAGUCUCUGCUGUGCUUAUGAGUCAUAACGAAAUAAGCCUUCUUGUGAAACUUUCGUAGGUAACAAAGAGAUUAUGGAAUUACACUGUGUUGGAACUACAUUUUGUUUUGUGCAGCUUGUUUUAAGAUAAAACAUGGAAGAGAACACGGAGCUCAACUAGCAAACCACACGUCUCCCAGGUUCUUUCUUCCACUCGCUUAUCUGAAAUAUGACUACCACCAAAAUGGAACUGCAUGGGAUUUUUUAGAGCAUUUGUUCUGAUAUCCUGAAUUACUCAAGUGUCUUAGCAGCAACUUCCUUUUUAAAUGAAAUCAUAUUUCUAAUACAGUGGACAGACACCUAACUUUCAGUAAUAGCCAAGAAAACAAUUCCACUCUGACAAGGUGCAAUCAGGAGGAAAUUUUAUAUAACACUGCAAGUAAUAAAUAAAUUAUGCAUAGCAAGACUAAAUUCAGAAUAAGUAUAUUGUGAAACAAAAUACAUUAGAAUAAUUGAAGAAAGAAUUAAUUACAGAGUUAGGAUAUAAACAGUAAUGCAUCCCAGGCAGAAGCAAACAACAAAACUGAAGGAAAUAUAAUUGUGGGCUGAGUUUGUUCAAGAGAAACAACAUUUACAGGUGGGAAAAUGCAUCUGAUCUCACAGGAUGACAAUUUGCUUGCAGAGAACCAGCACAAGCUUUAUGUAUGUUACAUCCCACCACAAAGUAGGGCAUUAGAUACUGUUUGUAUGUAUGGCUUGAGGUCUGGACAGAAGUGCAUUUUACUCAGUGAACCAGCUCCUGCUACACCUUCCUGAAAUCCUAAUUGCCAUUCCACAGCCACUCAAGCAAAGGAUGUUUCCACAAACAGCAAAAUUUGAAUAAUUUCCUGAAAUCCUGAAGUGGCAGAAAUUCACAAGUACAUAAGCCUGUUAACUAUGUGGAAAUUUCCUAAGAAAGGUAAUUUGCAAAACUACACCAGGGAGGCGUUACCCAGGCUUAGAGUAAAUAAACAGCACUUCUGGUAAACUGAAACUUGAGAGCAGGAAAUUCAUCUUGGCAUCACAAGUUAAUUGACACCUGCAUUAAUUACUGUUGUGAACUCUUAAAGCUCUUCUGCACCACACCAAAUUCCCUUGCACUUCCAAUAUGUAACCAAACACAACACGUAACCAGUUAACUUACCAUUCUGACUAAAAACUCAACCUUAACUACGUAACAUUCUCUAUAAACACAUUUACAGAUACAAACUGUUAUUCUGCAUAUAGGAAACUAUGCUGCAGGAAUUGUAUUUCUACACAUGAUUUCAAAUGAAAUUAAAAGUUGGCAUCUCUUCUGGUUAAACGUAAAAGUGCAAAGGAGAUGGCUGUGGAACCAGAGAGUGAAUACACUUGGGUAAUUUGGUAUUAAGAAGGUCCUUGAAGAUUUAAAUGUGUGGAGAAGGUCAUGCUUCACAUUAACUUCACUUCUGAUUCACAGCUUCAUCCAAAUCACACAUCUCAUCAAGAACAAAGCUGUUGGACAGGUGGAUGCAACUUUGCAAGGCAUUACAGUAGAUGCAUGAAGUUGUGUUAAGGUGUAAGUCUACAUACGAUUGCUAGUGAUGCUCUUAUGGCUGUUCAUACCAUUUCAUGAAAGCUUAAUGAGAAAAUACAUUUUGGGAGGCAUCUAGUAACAACAGGAUUGUUAAAGAGCUUGUAAGGAGAGUCCACCUAAACAUUUUCCAGAUCAUCCCUACAAGAACACUGACCUCACCAAGGAAGGGAGAUGUUCUCUCCCUCUUCAUGUCCCCUCUAGAAAACAAAUAGUCGCAAUUAAUCUUUUUAGUGGAAGGAUUACUGCAUUGAAUUCAGUAUUGCAAAUCUAAAAAUUGUCUCCUUGAAGUUUACAUAUGGUAGACUCCUUCUUUUCUUUGGGUACUUUUGAUGAAGAAAUAUUUCUUUUCCACAUCUACAGACUUAUGUAAUACUUCUGAAGUCAUUUGUCAGAAUGUCAAGGAUAAAGGACUUACCCAAACAUCAGGUAUUUAAAUGCAAAGCACUAGGAGCCAUUAGGCAGAAGUUCAGAGUUAAAAAAAAAAUAAAUCCAACUUUAAUUUGCUUUUGCUGUGUCAAAAAGGGUGAAGUUCUGCAACUAGCUUAAAAUUGCCUGCCAUGGCUCAAUCCAACCCACUGACCACCCAAAAAGGAAACUAUUCCAACCUCUUUCAACUAGCUCUAGCUAGUUAUUUUUUUUCCUGCUAGCUCAGGUGGCACUUGUACAACUGUGCAAUGAGUAAAUUCAUACUAAAUACAGCACUAAUUCUACUGCCUUCAUCAGAAGGGCAGGUAGGAAGUGAGCAAGUCUCCUGAGAAGUCACAUGAGAGCCAUGGUUCACAGCCAAGAGCAUGGAAUGGAAAAGAAACUUCUAUCAACAACACAUCCCAUUCCUCCAAUCCUGGAAAUUGCAUGGAUCUUUAUCCUUAAGAAGAAUGAAGAAGCUAAUACACUUAUCUCCUUGGAAAUACCCAUUUCUGUUAAGGGGGUAGGGGGAUGGACAGCUAUGAAGUACUGCAAAGCAGCCAUCAAAUAAUUCAGUUGUCAGAUUAUCAAACAAAGGUUUUGCAGUUUCAUGGUCUACUGGUAUACUUUCAAAAUAAAACCUCAUUAAUUUGUGCACAAGCUGUUCUCUCUUUGGUGCAGCUUAUGCAAUUUACUAAGGAUGAAAGGGAAGUACAUCCCUGGGACAACAUGACUGACUAUCUCUAAAACCAUCCCUUUUCUUUCCCUCCUCUUUCACCGAAGAAGACACAGCAGCCAGCUUCCCACAGCCAUCAAAGGUACUAGUCUAUGUUGAAGAAUACUUGGCUUACUGAAGUUUAUAGCAUAAACUCUACUUGUAUUCUGCAGCCAAAUCCUGCUUGAAACAAUACUCCAAUCUCAUCAGGAAACUGUGGCAAGGCUUUCAAUUUUUAAACUGUCAUAUCUGACAGAAUUUUCAGGAUUAUUUUUAAGCUUUAAGGGGAAAAUACUCUUGAUAAAGAACUGCACAUGAAAAAUAGAUUAGUUCCUCUUUAAAGUUUGCAAUAUUUAGUCAGAAGACCUUUCACAGAAACUGAGCAGUAACCUUAACUAUGGCACACUGCAAGAAACUAAAAUGGAGGUACAUUUUAAAAAGUGACUAAUUACAAAUUGUGGGGAGGUCACAUUUCUGCUUUUCACAUCAAGAGGACAAAGCUAUAAGACAGUCUGAAAUGAGUUUGAUGAGUUACUUUUCAAUAUAAACUAAUCUUUAAUUACAAGUUUGGUAUGUUCUGGAUAUGAUAAACUAAUUCAAGGACUAACUAAAGGUCUGAGCACAAGUCACAAAAAGUUCUACCCAAAAUUGGUAGAAAGAAAGGCAGUGCAUCCCAGAAGAACAGUAAAUUCAGUCUUGGUUUCCUUAGCUCCUUGCUUUUCUUUGUUUUGUCUUGACAUAAAUAAUGUCCUCUUACCUGCUGUGGCAGCUUCUUACAAAUGAAACCAAGAACAAGAGUAAAUCUUUAGCAGCAUAAAUCAAAUCUGACUAUUAUGAAUCUAGAAAUAAUUAAAAAAAAUCCAAGACCAAAUAUACUUAUUGCAAUCAUUUUUCAUGUUUUCAAUUUUAUAUUUCUGGGAUCUCUUUUUAUAGUUUAGCUUAGAAUAUAACUUUAUAUCCCCAUCAUAAAUCAAACAUCAUGGAUGUCUUUAAAUAUUCUGAAAGGCUCUUAGUGGAUACUAAGUAUUUUAGAUAAAGAAUCAGAGAAAAUGUAGAUUUGGAAGAGAUUUCAAAAGAUCACCUAAGCCCAUCUCUGCACACAGGCAAUAUGAAAUAUACUACAGUCCAUCCCUAUGAGAUGUUUCAUAAACCUCUCCUUAGAACUUCUAUAAUGGAAAUUUAACAACUCCCAUGGGAAGCAUAUUUUAGUGUAUCACUACCCUUAUAGUUGGGAAGUUUCUCUAGCCUGUCUUUGCUACAAAUAUAGGUUACUUAUGAGGAUAUUAAGAGAAACUUCCCAAUUAUAAUGAUCAUGAAGUAUCCCCACGACUAUUUCGAGAAGCCACUACAAUUUUCAAAGACAUUCUGGUGUUUGAUACGCAUACAAUUACUUAUGGUUUCACCUUAUCUUCUGAUUAAAAAACUGAUUUCAGUAAUUUUUCAGUUACAGAACUGAAAUCAGAAUUUCUUUACUGAGACUGAGUUUACCUUUAAUUCUUAAAUUGACAGGACAAAUAGGUAAUGCUGAUGUUAAACAACUAUUCUGGAUUACGUGGUGUAUUUUUGUGUUAGUUGUUAAAAGCCCAUCACAAAAAAAGUAUCACAUAAUUUACAAGAAAAGUGGUCUUUCAUUUAAAACUCAAAUAUCUGUAUUCUACUCCAACAGGAAGUCCUGACUUUGAACACAUCACAUAAUCUGUCUCUAUUUCAUCUUUAACAGGACACCAAUAUUCCUAUUAGAAACUUUGUGAAGAUACUAUAUGCAAAAUAUUUCAAAUGCUAAUACAAGGAUUGCUGCUUGUUAACAGGUUCACCAGGUGAUACAAGAACAUGGCAUGUCUCUAAACAAAUCUGAUAGGAAGCAAAGAACAAAAGUGCAAGUAAGAUACCACUUCUGCCCAACAGGUAUUUUUGGUAUUGGCUUUUAUAUAAAUUGACUUCUGCCUGCUGAUAGUAUCUUGAUUCUGUUCAUAAAUCAGCACAUGUCUUACAGUGAGUUCAACUGACUCACUUCAAUAUCAGAAGUACAAAAGCCACAGAAGUGAUACACUCUGCAACUGUGUUAAAGUUACCAUAAAGGUAAAUUGCUCUGUUUCAGGGCUUCCUGAAAUCAGGGCAUUCUGAAUUCUAAAUAACCAGUAUUUAGAAAGCUAACUUUAGAACAGUCCAGUUGAGAUACAACAAAACUGACAAACCAUUUCAUGGUUUUUUCAAAAAUGCACAGAAUGGUUAAUGUUCCGUUCUCUCAUGUUUGUAAUUUAAAUCAAUUUUCAUCUAAAUUCAGACUGUAUUUUUAAAGCACAAAUCUGUUUUUUUUCAGCAUUGUUGUAGCACUAUCUAUAUUUGCAUCAAAAAAACUCGAGGCAGCAAAUGCCCUGUUUAUAGAUAAUUCUUUUUCUGCUAAGAUAACAAAUUUCUUGCUGCCAUGGGAUUCUUGCGAUAUUUUUCUGUUCAUAAUUCUUAAAAAAUAAAUUAAACAAAAAGCAUAAAGAUAGCAAAUAGAAUUAAAUUUUAUCUUAUAGUCACUAUUUCACAUUCUACAUUAUAUCCCCAAUUAAAAAAACUUUUGUUUUACAAAUAUUAUUUUUAUAGAUACAAUAUUGUUUCAGGCUUGCAGUCAUGAGAACAAUUAUACUGCUUGGCUACUGGAAAUACCCUGCGUUUAGCCUUGUUAUGCACCUGAGAUGUGUGAAACUGUCUCAAUUACAAAUAUAUUACAGAAGACCUAGGGCCUGAUCCCAUAGCUGUUCAAAGCAUCCUACAACAGCCAUUUGUCAGUGAUAAGGAAGAACAAAUAUUGGAGGUGCAGAAUUCUACUGGAUCAGGCCUUAAGUGUAAGUGCAUUAUACAACACAUUAUAUGGUGACAUCUCAAAAUAAAAUACUGUAUUUUUAUGUAAUGCAGAAGUAACACACACAACUUACAUAUAGUAAUAAUUUAUUCUGAAAUGUUCAUUUUAGUCUCUGUUGAGACAUGACCCACGUCUCAUUAAUAAAAGAGCAGCCAUCUCACCUCAAAUACCAGAAUAUACAACAAGUUACAGCAUAGCAAAAAAAUUCUACCUACUUUAAGAUAAAAUCUAAUUCAGGUAAAAUAAUUUUGUUCAAGGUUUUACAGUUACACAGUUGUUUUUUGUGGUUUUUUUUUUUUUUUUUUUUUUUUU